GACGAACGCUGGCGGCGUGCUUAACACAUGCAAGUCGAACGAUGAAGGAGGAGCUUGCUCCUCUGGAUUAGUGGCGAACGGGUGAGUAACACGUGAGCAAUCUGCCCUUGACUCUGGGAUAAGCGCUGGAAACGGCGUCUAAUACCGGAUACGACCCUCGGAGGCAUCUCCUGUGGGUGGAAAGAACUUCGGUCAAGGAUGAGCUCGCGGCCUAUCAGCUUGUUGGUGAGGUAAUGGCUCACCAAGGCGACGACGGGUAGCCGGCCUGAGAGGGUAACCGGCCACACUGGGACUGAGACACCGCCCAGACUCCGACGGGAGGCAGCAGUGGGGAAUAUUGCACAAUGGGCGCAAGCCUGAUGCAGCAACGCCGCGUGAGGGACGACGGCCUUCGGGUUGUAAACCUCUUUUAGCAGGGAAGAAGCGAGAGUGACGGUACCUGCAGAAAAAGCACCGGCUAACUACGUGCCAGCCGCCGCGGUAA
rnacentral:rRNA from 1 species